rnacentral:lncRNA from 1 species
UUUAAGUAAAACCAAAAAUUCCCGAAGUUUCAAGUGCGAUUUUCUCGAGAGCGCUAGAGCGUUGGUCCCCAAUGUGGGGGUGGUUCUUCAUCUGCUGUUUGUGCUCUUUCGGAUGGCAAACUAUUGGCGGGGUCCCAGAAGCAUCGGGUGCAUGUUCCCUUGUUAAUAGAAUUGAAGCUGAUGCAUCCAGAAAAAAGCUGUUGGAUUUACAUUCUUUGUUGAUAUUUUUAAAGAUCAUGGAAAAUGUAGAUGGAAGGAGGAAUACGUGCACUUUAUAAAGGAUUGUCACCAACUGUACUGGGAAUG